rnacentral:miRNA from 1 species
UGAUGACGAUGACGAUGAUGAUGAUGAUGAUAGUGGUGGUGGUGGUGGUGAUGGUGAUGAUCAUGAUCACGAUCAUGAUCAUGAUCAUGAUUUGGC